rnacentral:rRNA from 1 species
UACGGAGGGUGCAAACGUUGCUCGGAAUCAUUGGGCGUAAAGCGCGCGUAGGCGGCUCGUUAAGUCGGGUGUGAAAUCUUGGAGCUUAACUCCGAAACUGCAUUCGAUACUGCCGUGCUUGAGGACUGGAGAGGAGACUGGAAUUUACGGUGUAGCGGUGAAAUGCGUAGAUAUCGUAAGGAAGACCAGUGGCGAAGGCGGGUCUCUGGACAGUUCCUGACGCUGAGGCACGAAGGUCAGGGGAGCAAACGGG